rnacentral:rRNA from 1 species
UGGGGAAUUUUGGACAAUGGGGGCAACCCUGAUCCAGCCAUGCCGCGUGCGGGAAGAAGGCCUUAGGGUUGUAAAGCUCUUUCGCCCGCGACGAUGAUGACGGUAGCGGGAGAAGAAGCCCCGGCUAAUUCCGUGCCAGCAGCCGCGGUAAUACGGAAGGGGCUAGCGUUGUUCGGAAUCACUGGGCGUAAAGCGCGCGUAGGCGGCUUGGCAAGUGCGGCGUGAAAGUCCUGGGCUCAACCUGGGGACGGCGCUGCGGACUGCUUGGCUGGAGUCCGGAAGAGGGUGGUGGAAUUCCGAGUGUAGAGGUGAAAUUCGUAGAUAUUCGGAGGAACACCGGUGGCGAAGGCGGCCAUCUGGUCCGGCACUGACGCUGAAGCGCGAAAGCGUGGGGAGCAAACAGGAUUAGAUACCCUGGUAGUCCACGCCGUAAACGAUGGGUGCUAGAUGUCGGGGGGCUUGCCCUUCGGUGUCGGAGCUAACGCGUUAAGCACCCCGCCUGGGGAGUACGGCCGCG